rnacentral:rRNA from 1 species
UACGUAGGGACCAAGCGUUGUUCGGAUUUACUGGGCGUAAAGGGCGCGUAGGCGGCAAUUCAAGUCAUCUGUGAAAUCUCCGGGCUUAACUCGGAACGGUCAGAUGAUACUGCUUUGCUAGAGUGCGGAAGGGGCAAUCGGAAUUCUCGGUGUAGCGGUGAAAUGCGUAGAUAUCGAGAGGAACACCUGAGGUGAAGACGGGUUGCUGGGCCGACACUGACGCUGAGGCGCGAAAGCCAGGGGAGCAAACGGG